ensembl:snRNA U6 U6 spliceosomal RNA
AUGCUCCUUUCAGCGGCAUAUAUACUAAAAUUGGAAUGAUACAAAGAAGAUUAGCUUGGCCCCUGUGCAAGGAUAACAGGCAAAUUCAUGAAGCAUCUUAUAUUUCA